rnacentral:rRNA from 1 species
UACAGAGGUCUCAAGCGUUGUUCGGAAUCACUGGGCGUAAAGGGUGCGUAGGCCGCACGGAAAGUCAGAGGUGAAAUCCCGGAGCUCAACUUCGGAAUGCCUCCGAUACUCCCGUGCUUGAGGACUGGAGAGGAGUCUGGAAUUCACAGUGGAGCAGUGAAAUGCGUAGAUAUUGUGAGGAACACUAGUGGCGAAGGCGAGACUCUGG